UUUGUAGACCUGAUGUACAGUCAAGGUGGUGUUUUGUUAAUAGACGUGAUGGCUCCAAUGACCAAGUAUUGUAUAUACAUAUAUAUGUGUGCUCGAGCUUAUACAGGUGAUUAUUUCCUUUUAUAUGCGACAUGAUGCUGUCCGAAUUUCAAGUUGUCAUAGAGGUACGUAUGGGAAGUAUAAGGUUAUGAGCUGGUUCUCCUGG
rnacentral:lncRNA from 1 species